UACGUAGGAGGCAAGCGUUGUCCGGAAUUACUGGGCGUAAAGCGCGUGUAGGUGGUGGGACAAGUCUGCUGUGAAAGCGCCUGGCUUAACCGGGCGAGGUCGGCGGAAACUGUCCGACUCGAGGACGGUAGAGGGGGGUGGAAUUCCCGGUGUAGUGGUGAAAUGCGUAGAGAUCGGGAGGAACACCAGUGGCGAAGGCGGCCCUCUGGGCCGGGCCUGACGCUGAGACGCGAGGGCGUGGGGAGCGAACGGGG
rnacentral:rRNA from 1 species